rnacentral:piRNA from 1 species
AGGAGAGAACUUUCCAGGCUUGC